GGGGUUGCGUGUGUGGGGUUGUGGGGUUGUGUUGUGCGGUGCUGCCAUGCCGUGCCCUGAUGUCAUGUGUUAGCGGAAGUGGUUUGGAAUGGCCUGCCGUAGACGGUGAGAGUCCGGUACGUGAAAGCAUGUGGUGUUGGGGUUGAUGUGAUACCCGAGUAGCAGCGGGCUCGUGGAAUCUGCUGUGAAUCUGCCGGGACCACCCGGUAAGCCUAAAUACUCAGUGUGACCGAUAGUGUAUGAGUACCGUGAGGGAAUGGUGAAAAGUACCCCGGGAGGGGAGUGAAAUAGUACCUGAAACCAUGUGCUUACAAUCCGUCAGAGCACCGGAAUGUGUGUGAUGGCGUGCCUUUUGAAGAAUGAGCCUGCGAGUCAGCGGCAUGUCGCGAGGUUAACCCGUGUGGGGAAGCCGUAGGGAAACCGAAUCCUCAUGGGGUGUUUAGUGGCAUGUCCUGGACCCGAAGCGGGGUGAUCUACCCAUGGCCAGUGUGAAGCAGUAGUAAGAUGCUGUGGAGGCGCGAACCCACGUAGGUUAAAAACUGCGGGGAUGAGUUGUGGGUAGGGGUGAAAGGCCAAUCAAACUCCGUGAUAGCUGGUUCUCUCCGAAAUGCAUUUAGGUGCAGCGUUGCGUGU
rnacentral:rRNA from 11 species